CAUCACUAGUUCGUGUACUAACCCACAUUGUUCUCUGGUCACGUCACAGCUCGCAUCCUCGGCUCAGCUCACUACUUGGACAACCGGCCAUAUCCACUGCUGUUCAUGCUCCAUUGCCAAGGAGCUUUUCAGUCUUACACCUGCCUGCCCUUUUGCCACUGCUGCACAUUAGACUCCUUGGAACUCAGAUCAGCUAUCAUCUGACACUACCUGCAAUUGGGACCACUCUUGCUACCCUCUUGUGUUGCCUGCCGUAGACCUCCGCGCUAGUUUCCCUAGACAUGAAACCUCACCCCAAACAUAGUGGUAUUUUGUGUUUACUCUUCGCUCCCAUGCCAAGUUGUUACUUUGUGUUUGGUGCAAAAAUAAAAAAGACUGUACAAAGCUAACUCAACCAUCUCUGCACUUGGUCCCACACAUGAGCUCAGUUUUUGUACAGGCCUCUGGCCCCUUUGUGACAGCUUUUAGUUUUACCCAGUAGGCACACAGAGUUUAGA